AACGAACGCUGGCGGCAUGCCUAACACAUGCAAGUCGAACGAGACCUUCGGGUCUAGUGGCGCACGGGUGCGUAACGCGUGGGAACCUGCCCUUAGGUUCGGAAUAACUCCCCGAAAGGGGUGCUAAUACCGGAUAAUGUCUUCGGACCAAAGAUUUAUCGCCUUUGGAUGGGCCCGCGUUGAAUUAGCUAGUUGGUAGGGUAAAAGCCUACCAAGGCGACGAUCCAUAGCUGGUCUGAGAGGAUGAUCAGCCACACUGGGACUGAGACACGGCCCAGACUCCUAAGGGAGGCAGCAGUGGGGAAUAUUGGACAAUGGGCGAAAGCCUGAUCCAGCAAUGCCGCGUGAGUGAUGAAGGCCUUAGGGUUGUAAAGCUCUUUUACCCGGGAUGAUAAUGACAGUACCGGGAGAAUAAGCUCCGGCUAACUCCGUG
rnacentral:rRNA from 1 species